rnacentral:rRNA from 1 species
UACGGAGGGGGCUAGCGUUGUUCGGAAUUACUGGGCGUAAAGCGCGCGUAGGCGGCUUUGUAAGUUAGAGGUGAAAGCCUGGAGCUCAACUCCAGAACUGCCUUUGAGACUGCAUCGCUUGAAUCCAGGAGAGGUGAGUGGAAUUCCGAGUGUAGAGGUGAAAUUCGUAGAUAUUCGGAAGAACACCAGUGGCGAAGGCGGCUCACUGGACUGGUAUUGACGCUGAGGUGCGAAAGCGUGGGGAGCAAACAGG